rnacentral:rRNA from 1 species
AGUCUGUCCCUGAAGUUCUGGCACUGCGCCUGCCCAAUAGUGUGGGCGCCGGAGAGGGCGACCAUGUCGGUCACGGUGAAGCCCUUGUCACCGAAGGACUGGGUGAGGUUAACGAGGUCGAAGAAUGGGGGAGGUAGCUCGUUGUUCGCCGCCGCUUCGUUUGCGUUGGUGGAGUCCCUCCUUCCCAGAGGAACUGUCCACGAAGGCCCUCCCAGCUGCACCAGAAGAGAAAAAAAAUCCAUGGGAGUCUGGGGCGGCGACGGUGAGGAUGUCGGCGCAGGAGACGGUCUGCUUGCACAUGGUCUCCAGCUGCGCCUUGAUGCUGUCGAUGACUUCGAA